CCCAGAGCCCCCAGGACCCAUCCCUGAGCUGUUUGGGGAGACACAGGCAACCCCUUCUUUGGCUGGCUAGGGUUUCACGAGCCUCGGGAAAGAAGAUGCAGCUAAAAUUAACCGCUAUCAAGCUGUCAGCCCUGGAAAUAAACCUGCCUCCCAUUGGCUGCCGGUGACGUCACUGCUGGGUUAAUAAUAGCCGCCGAGUGCCUAACGAACCACCUGUGCAUGGGGCACAGCCAGGCCAUCACCCCGGGGCCACCGUCGCAGGUUGGUUCACUGCUGGGCCCUGUGGACUUGUUCUCAUGCUUUGUCAGUGUCGAUGUCGAAAGCCCAAAGUGUUUCCCAAGUCCUGCUACCUUGCCCAUAGAACACAGAAAGGUGAUAAGUCACUCUGUGAUUGGCUGCAUCAUUCCAGGCUCUGUCCUGGGGGACGGAGCAGCAAGACACCCCUGCUGUCUGUGAAGAUAUGGCUGUUGGAAGGCAUGGGAGGGGCCUCGUAUCAGGGAACCAGUGAGUGGCCCCAGGCUGCCAGCCAACAAGAAAGCAGGGACCUCAGUCCUACAGCCACAAGGAACUGAAUUCUGCCAACAACCACGUGGCCUUCAAAGAGGACCUCAAGCUUCAGAAAGAAAUACCAACACCUUGGUGGCACUCUUGAAACCCCGAGCCACCCAGCGGAAUUGUGUGUGGGCUCCUGACCCCCCAAAACUGAG
rnacentral:lncRNA from 10 species